CCUGGGUAGAGAAAAGGGGUGGAUCAGUCAUCUCUAACCGUUUUAGUCACCGGGAUGUCACUGACCCACAGGUGUAUGGAGGGUGUGUGCCUUCUGUCCAGCUGAAGCGCGUUUAUGGUUAUGGUAGUGUUAGAAGAGGAUGGUCAUGCAUUGCAGGUGCUUCUCAACUCACAAGAGCUUGCUAGUGACCACUCUCUUCUGACCUUCCCUCUCAGCGAAAUGAAAAAGAGCCAUGUUCUAUGGGUGUUGUUUUUAAAAAGAAAAAGAAAAAAAACUUCAUUUCUAUUAAAUUCCAAUGCUAAACAACAAUAAUGCUUUUUUUUUUUAAGCCUGGCAUGGUGGUGCAUGCAUGCCUUUACAGAAACAAAUGGAUCUCUGUGAAUCUGGGGCCAGCCUGGUUUAUUUACACUGUGAAUUCUAGGUUACCCAGUAGUAGAGAGUGAGGCCUGUCUUCGACAAAAAUCCCAAGGCCCUUUGUACUGGCUCCAAAGAAGGGAGGGAACUUGGUGCUCUAAGGCAGUUACCCCGCCCCAUCGACUCUCGAAACGGAAGACCCGCCCCAGAGAAUGCGGAAGACCCGCCCCAUCCGGUCUCCAAACGGAAGACCCGCUUCAGAGGAUGCUUUUCAAUCCUCAUCAACAUUUUCGGUUUGGCGUCAUGCUAGUUCCAGGUGCAAACGUCCUAUCUCAGCUGCUUACCUACUCUUUUCUGCAUUCUCUUUUCAGUAAUUAAUCAAUCGAUCAGUCGAUCCAAAGACCUCCGCCCUUUCAGAGGCUUUCAGUGGUUCCUCCUGGCGUCUUUUUCUUGCCAGUUUUCAUUCCUCGAUCAUAAAGCAGGACCAUGACCUCCCUCAUUUCACUUACUGUCCACUCAACUUUUUCCGUAACUCAACAAAUACUAUGUGGGCAUUAUCAUAUUUUAAAAUUCACUUCCUUACAAACUAAACAUCCCCACUUCUGCAUUCCUUAGCUCCCAAUGCUUUCUCUGGCUCCAAUCUUGGAAAUCACGAUUUGUGUUUUCACGCACGCCCCUUCUACUUAUUCACCUAUAUAGGAGUCUGUGUGAUGUUACAAGCUUACAUUUUUUUCUUAGUAGUAGAUUUUAACACGCAUGAACUUCUGUAACUCUCAGCUACUUAUACACCUCACAGUUUCUUCUGCACCAUGAUGCAAAUCAAGGUAAUUCUUUUAAACCGUUGGAUCAUUGUGACUAUAGCAUAGUGUUUUUAAACCAUUCCUCCACUGAUAAGAUAUUUGGAGUAUUUACAACUUUUUUGCCACUACAGUAGUGACGAGUGUCUAUUGAAUAUGAAUGUGCCUAUGUAGAUGUGGAACAGUUAAUGAAGCUUAAUUUUAAAAUAACCAAGUUGCUUCCACCACUCUAUGUGGUAAAGACUUGCUUAAGAGUGAUCCAGGCCUUGGGUUAAUUUCCAAGUACUAAGGUGGGUUAUAUGGAGGGACAAUGGGAGGGACAGGCAAAGGAUUACAACAAGGCUCUCUAUUUAGAGACAGAAGCUAUGAAAAGGGAACUAGGAAGGGGCUAGCAUUUGUGCCAACUGAGCUUGUAAUGCCAGCAUCCUGUGCAUAAAAAUAGCAGCUUGGCAAGCUGAGGAGCUGAGGAGAUAGAAGGUCAGAUCUCCCACAGCAACUAUAACCAGGAGGUUAUAGACGUUGGAGCCUUUAUGAGGAGUAGAGAGUCAAGGCCUAGAAAUCAAAGAGUUACUCAGAAAAGCACAAAAAGAAGGCAAAGGUGGCAAAGAACCACGACCAGAGUGACAGCUUAGUGGCAUGAAAAAAAACCUUUAAAGGAGAUUUAAAAACCAUUGGGGGAGGGGUUGGGGAUUUAGCUCAGUGGUAGGCCCUGGGUUUGGUCCCCAGCUCUGAAAAAAAGAAAAGAAAAAAAAAAUCAUUGGGGGAGGGGUAAGGGGGGAGGGGGGAGAGAGAAUCAAACCAGUCUUUUCAAUAAAUUCUUAGUGUCUUCCGAGCGCAGUCCCGGGUGCUGGGAACAUUGAGAGGAAGGGAAAGAGCCCAGCAAUUGCCCACAGCCAAAGUGCGCACAGAUGUUCUACAGCCAUGUGGACAGAGGAUUCCCACAGUAGAAUGGGGUGUGCCGCCUGGGAAAGCAUCUUGUCCUACAUCAGUUGCCCAAAGCUGUAGCUGCAUAGCAGUGAAGAGAACAGAUCUGAGCGCUGGCAGGGAAGGGACUGAUGGCCUGAACUGCAGUGCUUCACUAGUCCUUUGUGACAUGCCAGGCACGGCGUGCACGUCCUUACCAAUGCUCAAGAUCCUCCUCCUAACCCUGCCACUCCUCCUCAUCCCCUAGUCGGCAUUCCGUGGUCAGGAAGAGCUUUCUCGCCAUCAUUUAUCAAGUCGGGAUUGCAUCCUGGAUUCUUACUUUGACCUAGGGUUUGUCAUCCUUUACUGUUAACAUUAGUUUAACGUUCAGCGUUUCCAGACUUGCCAGUAGGAGAGCCUUUACACCGGCUCCUCCCUAUAUUGCGAUCUGUCCCAUCCUUCUCUGUACACAGCAGUACAAGCAGCGUACCAUGCAUAUUCACCCCGUCCCAACCUUGCAAUGGCCUUUUCCAUAGGGAUGGAUAUCGGUUCCGUUUUUGCAGAGCAAUUGCUUCUCUCUCCACUGAACAUACAAGUUGAGAAUUAGCGCUCUGGAGCCUGACCGUAUCAGUAUUGCUCCUAUGGAGCCAUCCCUGAACCUCAGCAAACCCCAGUGGCCCAGCUUCUGUAGAGAACAGAAGAGAGUGUGCACACAUACCGUUCGUGUUUUCCAGGACAGUCUGGUGCUUCACAAAGGCUACGUCUCCCUUCUCAACGAGGCACCUGGAGAGUUCCAGAUACGGGAAAGAGAGAAGACAGGAGAAAAUAUAGAGCAAAGCCUGAAACCUACAUCCUUGACUCUACAAGGCCCACAUAUAUCUGUAUUGUGCAUUGAGAACGGAGAGCUCUGAACCACUGCACAUCUCCCAGAAGUUCCAAGAAAGAAAUACUAGCAACAUUAACUCUGCUGUGUAUGGUUCUACCUUUUUUUUUUUUAACCACAGUCCUUUGAAAGUGGACACACACAGGUGUGAACUAGUGUGCGAUUCAGUGUCUACUCAUGGAAACGGGUGAAACAGAUUCUUAAACAGCGGGCCCCGUCCUUUGCCCUCUUGCUUCAAGGGAAAUCACCUGUCUCUUCGGGCGGUCAUCCGAAAGCUUUGUGGACAGUCACUGAAAAGGCAAAGCGACCGUGCAGCCCUGAGUCAUGGAGUCUCUAUAAGCUAAGAGUCUGUCGGUUUGCUGGUUGCAUGUCAUAUCUGAGUUUUAUAAGACAUUUUGAAAAAUGAAGCCUGUUAGAUAUGUUUCUAAAAGCAAA